rnacentral:rRNA from 1 species
UACAGAGGUCUCAACCGUUGUUCGGAUUCACUGGGUUUAAAGGGUGCGUAGGUGGGUUGAUAAGUCAGUGGUGAAAUCCCCGAGCUUAACUUGGGAACUGCCAUUGAUACUAUUGAUCUUGAAUACCGUGGAGGUCAGCGGAAUAUGUCAUGUAGCGGUGAAAUGCUUAGAUAUGACAUAGAACACCAAUUGCGAAGGCAGCUGGCUACGCGAAUAUUGACACUGAUGCACGAAAGCGUGGGGAUCAAACAGG